rnacentral:tRNA from 1 species
UAGUAAGAAAUAAAAAUUUAUGUUUAGUUUCGACCUAAAAAUUUGGCUUUAAAGCCCUUACUUU